UGCCAGCCGCCGCGGUAAUACGUAGGGUCCGAGCGUUGUCCGGAAUUACUGGGCGUAAAGAGCUCGUAGGUGGUUUGUCGCGUUGUUCGUGAAAACUCACAGCUUAACUGUGGGCGUGCGGGCGAUACGGGCAGACUGGAGUACUGCAGGGGAGACUGGAAUUCCUGGUGUAGCGGUGGAAUGCGCAGAUAUCAGGAGGAACACCGGUGGCGAAGGCGGGUCUCUGGGCAGUAACUGACGCUGAUGAACGAAAGCUAGGGUAUCAAACGGGAUUAGAUA
rnacentral:rRNA from 1 species